UGGCUGGGCGAAGCCUGAGCAGCGACGCCGCGUGGGGGAUGAAGGUCUUCGGAUUGUAAACCCCUCUCGGGAGGGAAGAUGGAGUUGGGUAACCCACUCGGACGGUACCUCCAGAAGCAGCCACGGCUAACUUCGUGCCAGCAGCCGCGGUAAUACGAAGGUGGCAAGCGUUAUUCGGAUUUACUGGGCGUACAGGGAGCGUAGGCGGUUCGGCAAGCCCUCUGUGAAAUCUUCAGGCUUAACCUGGAAAAGUCGGAGGGGACUGCCGGGCUAGAGGACGGGAGAGGAGCGCGGAAUUCCCGGUGUAGCGGUGAAAUGCGUAGAGAUCGGGAGGAAGGCCGGUGGCGAAGGCGGCGCUCUGGAACGUUUCUGACGCUGAGGCUCGA
rnacentral:rRNA from 1 species